rnacentral:rRNA from 1 species
GAUGAACGCUGGCGGCAUGCCCAACACAUGCAAGUCGAUCGGUAAGGCUCUUCGGAGUACACGAGAGGCGGACGGCUGAGUAACGCGUAGGAACACACCCUGCAGUGAGGGAUAAGACACCGAAAGGUGUUCUAAUACCGCAUACGGUCUUCGGAUUAAAGCAUUUAUGCGCUGAAGGAGUGGCCUGCGUCAUAUUAGAUAGUUGGUGAGGUAAUGGCUCACCAAGUCGAUGAUGUGUAGCUGGUCUGAGAGGAUGAUCAGCCAGACUGGAACUGAGGCACGGUCCAGACUCCUACGGGAGGCAGCAGUGAGGAAUAUUUCACAAUGAGCGAAAGCUUGAUGGAGCAAUGCCGCGUGCAGGAUGAAGGCCCUCGGGUUGUAAACUGCUUUUAUAAGAGAAGAUUAUGACGGUAACUUAUGAAUAAGGGACGGCUAACUACGUG